GCGCCUGUAGCUCAGCUGGAUAGAGCAUCAGCCUCCGGAGCUGAGGGCCACAGGUUCAAAUCCUGUCAGGCGCACCA
rnacentral:tRNA from 29 species